rnacentral:rRNA from 1 species
CGCGAACGUUGGCGGCGCGCCUAACACAUGCAAGUCGAGGGGCAGCAGGCCUUUUCUUCGGAAAAGGUGCUGGCGACCGGCGAACGGGUGAGUAACGCGUAGCUAACCUACCCUCAGUAUGGGGAUAACCCCUCGAAAGGGGGGCUAAUACCCAAUAAAGAGGCGUAUCAAUAGAUGUGCCUCCAAAGGCCUUCGGGCGCCUGAGGAUGGGGCUGCGUCCCAUCAGGUAGUUGGUGAGGUAAAGGCUCACCAAGCCGACGACGGGUAGCUGGUCUGAGAGGAUGGCCAGCCACAGUGGGACUGAGACACGGCCCGCACCCCUACGGGAGGCAGCAGUGAGGAAUCUUGGACAAUGGACGAAAGUCUGAUCCAGCUAUUCUGCGUGAAGGAUGAAGCUUUUUGGAGUGNAACUUCUUUUCUGGAGGAAGACGAAUGACGGUACUUCAGGAAUAAGGGGCGGCUAACUACGUGCCAGCAGCCGCGGUAAUNCGU